GGACUAUACACUUAAAGGUAAGGUCCUAGGGAGUGUUGCUGAACAAAGAGACUUUGGAGUGUAGGUUCGAAAAGUUACUCACACCCACUGCUGAAUUGUAGGAGAGCAAGGGGUCAUGGUCUCAGCAUACAGGGUAGGCCAUUUUGGACUGAACUGAGAAGAACUUUCUUCAGAGGCUGGUGAACCUGUGGAGUUCUCAGAAUCCUCAGAAACCUGGGGAGGUUGUGUCACUGAACAUGGUUAACAAGAAAAUAGAGGUUAAGGGUAUAAAUGGGAAUGGGAAGAGAGAAGGGAAAUGGCAUUGAGAUAGAGGAUCAGCAUGAUCAGACUGAAUGAACCAAAUGGCAUGUUCCCGCUCCGAGUUUCUAUUUUUAAUGUUCUAGCUGCAGUGUAGCUUCAAUCAAUAUCAGCCGGAGAUUUUACUGGUUAAAAAGGAUUCAAAAUUAAAUUCCAUCUUGUCCUUACUUCAUAUUGAUCAUGAUCAAUGCAAAACUGUCUUCAGUAAAAUUGUGAGGGUUACUGACAACAACCAAUAUCCAUUCCUCUGAGACUUUUCCUUUCUCAUUCCCAGAAAUGUCUAUAUUUAUCCGAAAUCCUUCUAUUUUGGAGAUUUGGAUCAAUAAGACUGCUACUGUGGAGUGUGCAGUGGUCUGUUCUGAUCCAAGCCAGGUUCAGAUCUCCUGGGAAGUCAGCGGUAAGAAGAGACGUGAAGUGAUUAAGACUCAGCAGUUAAUACAGGAAGGAAGCUUACCCACGGUCAUCAGUCAACUCCAAACCAGUGCUGAGGAGUGGGAGAGUGGGGUCGAUUUUGUGUGCUCUGCCCAAAGUGCUUCCUCAUCCUCACCGAUGUCAAAGCAAAUACGUGGAGUAAAAGUUGAGCCAAAAAGUCCCAAGGUCAGACUGCUGCUUGUACCACCGCAAGAGAGCAAGAAUAAAAACACAGUCACAUUUGAGUGUGUGAUCACUGAGUUCUACCCAGACCUCGUGUACGUCUCCUGGGAGAAAGACGGCACUCUGAUCUCCUCCAACACCAGCGCUGGACUGACUGCUCUAGAACAGGCACAGACAUUUCGUGUCAGGCAUUACCUGACUGUGAGUGCAGAGGAGUGGAGGAAAGGCUCAGUUGUCGUCUGUACAGUGUUCCAUCCCUCCUCCAAUUCCACCAUCAGUGCCACACUGAAGAACUUCGAAGGUAGGGUGUUGGGCGUAAUUCCAACAUGGAAAUCAUUUAUCCUCACUGCUGAAAACUUUAUUAGGACUACUCAAGUUCAACAUGAACAAUGUACAUGUCAUAGCCAUAGCAGGUUUGUCGUGCCUUUCACAAAGUCAAUAUGUCCCAAAAUACUUCACUGUUGAUCAAAUGCGUUUUUAGCAGUGCAGUUAUUGUUCCAAUGUAAGAAAUAUAUGAACUAAUUUCUGCACAAUAAGGGCCCACAAACAGCAAUAUCAUAAUAACCAGAGAGAAGGGAGAGUGGCCACAGAGGAGACCUCCCUUUCUCUUGUCUGAACUUGCAGCCAGAAGAUCUCUUUGGUAUGUGUGAUGUGAUGAGGGGCCUUAUGUUUACUGUUUUGUGUAAAAAGACGGCAUGUCUGGCAGCACAACAUUCCCUCAGGACUGGUAUUGGGGAGAUCAGUCGGGAUGAUGAGCUCAGGUCUUUUGAGUGGGGUUUGAAAAUAAAACCUUUGUUGAGAAAGGAGAAAUCCCUGACAAUGUUCAAAGGUAGACAAGUGCAGUUAGUAAUCCAGAGAAUACGGUUCAAAUUUCAGGCAGUUUCAGAAUUUGAAUUCAACUAAAGAUUGGAAAUAAAAUGUCAGAAUUAGAAAAAUUAACCCUGAAGCUGUGGGAAUUUGGUUGGUAGUUCUUUCUUUAGGGACAGAUACUAGCUGUUCUUAUACUUCAACCCUGCAGGAGGCCUGUCACCAUCGGGGUUCCCGAGGGCACUGGUUCUGAGUCCUCGUCUGUUUGACAUUUACAUAAAAGAUCUAGAUGAGAAUAUGGAAAGCACGGUUAGUAAAAUUAGUAGUACAUCAGACAGUGAAGAAGGUUUGCUAAGGUUUCAAAGGGAUCUUUAUCAAAUAGGUCAAUGAGCUGAAAAAAUGGCUGGAGUUCAAUGUGGAUAAAUACGAGAUAUUACACUUUGGUACAACAAAUAAUGGUAGGGCUGAUGCUAUGAAUGGGAGAGCCUUGGGUAAUGUUGUAGAAAAGAGGAACUGAAGAGUCCAGGUACAUAAUUCUUUGAUGUUUGCGUCACAUGAGACAGGUUGGUAAAAAGAUAUUUAGCAUACUUGCCUUCAUUACUCAGUCCUUUGAGUAUAAGAGUUGGGAAGCCAUGUUGAGGUUGAAAAGGACACUCAUGAGAUCACUUCUGAAAUACUGUGUCCAGUUCUGGUUACCCAGUUAUAGGAAGGGUAUUAUUCAGCUGGAGAGGGUUCAGAAGAGAUUGACCAGGAUACUGCCGGGUAUGGAAGAUUUGAGUUAUAAAGAAGACUGGAUUGGCAGGAAAUUUUUCCACUGUCGGAGGUUGAGAGGCGACCUGAUAGAAGUUUAUAAAAUAAUGAGGGGAACAGAUAGGGUUAAUGAUAGUUAUCUUUUCCCAAUAAUGGGGGAUUUCAAGAGUGUGAUAUAUAUUUAAGAUGAGAGGAGAGAGAUUUUAAAAGGACAAGAGAGGCAA